rnacentral:ribozyme from 2 species
CCCCUAACUCCGCUUGUAGCCCUUCUAGAGUUACUGCCGGUCCCAAGCCCGGGUAAAGGAGGAGGAUCAGGC